GAUGAACGCUAGCGGCAGGCUUAACACAUGCAAGUCGAGGGGUAUGCCGAUUUAUCGGCAGAGACCGGCGCACGGGUGCGUAACGCGUAUGCAAUCUACCUUUCACAGAGGGAUAGCCCAGAGAAAUUUGGAUUAAUACCUCAUAGUAUAGUACUUUGGCAUCAAGGAACUAUUAAAGUCACAACGGCAAAAGAUGAGCAUGCGUCCCAUUAGCUAGUUGGUAAGGUAACGGCUUACCAAGGCUACGAUGGGUAGGGGUCCUGAGAGGGAGAUCCCCCACACUGGUACUGAGACACGGACCAGACUCCUACGGGAGGCAGCAGUGAGGAAUAUUGGUCAAUGGACGCAAGGUCUGAACCAGCCAUGCCGCGUGCAGGAUGACGGUCCUAUGGAUUG
rnacentral:rRNA from 1 species